UUUUGCCAUCGCUGAUGCAUGGAGAAGCCGUGACCAUUGAUAUGGCUUUCAUGACAUACGUGGCCCACACACGGGGAUUGAUCACGAAGGACGAGAAGGACCAGAUCAUCCAGUGCAUGCGGGGCCUGGAGCUGCCCGUGUGGCAUGGUGCCUGCAGCUGGGCCCUCAUCCAGGCAGCGCUGAGGGAGCGCCUGCGGCAUGGAGGGGGGCAGCCCCGCAUGCCACUGCCCACCGGCCUCGGAGUAGCAGAGAUAUUCAACGACACCAGUGAGGAGACGCUGAAAGGUGCCUAUAAGCUCUGGGUUAAGGACUGCAGGACAGUGCUGGAAGAGGGGACAGCUGCCCUGUGAGCGCUGCAUAACUGUGCCCAGCAUCCUGCCCACUCCCAGAGCUGCUCAGAAUUGUGGGUAGGUGGGCAAGGCUGAAUUUAAGGCAGAAUGAAUACAGCAGCAUGAAUUCCUGCAGCAUUAUGAAAGCCUCUGUGCUGCCUGAAGCAAGGACAUCAGCUUAGUUUGCCUAUCGAGAUUGCUGUAGUGGGAAGGGAACUUGUUAGAGUUGUGUUGUGCUCACAGGGGGGAUCACUCACAACUGAAACAAAUAAUGCCCAUACUAUAGUUCUUAGCAGCUUUGUGUCUCCUUUGGUGGGAAGUGGCACUCGUUCCCUUCAUUAGUUAAUCCAUGGCCUUGUACAGUACUGUCCCACUGCUGCCUAUUGGGUCUCACAGUCAAUAGGUGUAGCCAAGAGAAGUCAGGGGACACCCAGUGAGAUUGUCACCUCUGAGCAGCCUCAGUGCCACAUCAAAUGUCCUGGCAGGCACAGGACAGGCAAUGUAUCACAUGCUGAUUGCAGGAAACAUAAAGGCAAUGUCAUCCUUCUCCCUGGAGGUUGAAUCAGAAGAAUCACAAUCCACAAACAGCCUCUGAAUUAUUUACAGCAUUAUUGUUUGUUUCUUUCUUUCUGUCUUAUCAGUUUGUGCUGAUGUACUGGAUUCUGUUUUGCUGAAGCAAUAAAAGCUAUUAAUACCA
rnacentral:lncRNA from 1 species